GGAAAUGUGCCUGAACGACCAAGGGUCACUAUGAUAAAGUGAACAUAGAGGUGCACCAAUCCUCUCAUUUCCU
rnacentral:tRNA from 1 species